rnacentral:lncRNA from 1 species
UGUCAGUGUAAUCUACGAAAUAAAAUGAAAAUAAGGAAAAAUUUAAUUUAAUCUGAAUUUCAAAGACCUGAAAAGAACGUUUUAGUAACAAAUUCAAGUCCUAAUAUUUGGGGUGUUACAAUAACCGUUCAACUUUAUAUUACAACGUAAAAUCAUAAAAAUGAAAGAAGGCACGUUCUCACUAUCUUUGGCACCAUGGUUUAUUCAAAGUUUUUUAUUUAUUGACCAACACGAGUGUCCAUGAGUAACUACAGUACAUAAGAAGUAAAGUUAACUCAAAUUCUAUUAUAUUUGUUUAGAUGACAUAGAAAGACUCGGUAUCUUAACUUGUUUGACUUAUUCUAAUCUUCUAUAAUAUUUCAAAAUGUGAUCGACAAAUUUUAAAGUGAAAUUGAGAGCUUGUUAUCACUGGCCUAGUCUUGUAACUACCAAACUAUGCUAGUACAGUGUGGCCUUAACGCUCCACAACUACUGUGCCCCACAAGAUAACGUUAAGUCAGCCUUAAACCUCCAUGAUAAUUUAACUAGUGGGGGUUAAAUUAUAUGUCUUUGAGUAAAGAAGGUAGAUAGAAAUUUAUAUGAAAAAGAGCACACACAAAAAUAUGGGAAAACUUCUUUGUAUAAAUGUAAGAGAACUAUUACAAACUUUCAAAUAUUUUCUCUUUACAAGAUAGCACUAUAUGUUACGUUAAACAAAACCCAUCUAUGAGAACUCUUUGUACUCUCCAUUUUUCUAAAGGAUUCCUUCAUUGGAUUUUACAAAUGUCUUAACACAUCUAUUUAUAGGCUUGCUAGGCAAGUUGGCAUCAAUAGCUAAGACUAAUCUUGAUUCAAGAGUCUUCAUUGAUUGCGAAUUGCCAUCCACCUCCUUUGAUCACAUGGUAUCUAAAUUGAAAUUUACUACCCUAUAAGUUACAUGUCUCUACACUUGCAAGUUGUCAUGUUGCAAGUUACAUGUCCUUUUCUAACUCAAUCUAGUUGGCAUGUCCC